UUUGAUCCUUUCAAAAAUUAUGCUAUAACAUACAGUAUAUGGUGUUGAAAGGUGUAUAUAUAUGCUAAUUAUAUAUAUACGUUUGAUUCAUUAUAUUCUGUAGGGUUAUAGUUUCUUUUGCGCGUUGCAAAGAGAGGAGUUUCAUUCCUCUCUAUGCAUCGUGUAAAGUUUUGUAAGGGGAUUGGUUGCACACAUGGUGAGUAAUCUAAAUAUCCCUCAUAUUAUCCUUUCGUUCAUGAAAGAGAUAUGGUGUGGUUGUUGCUAUUAUAGUUGCAGCUACUAUAUAUAUCUCGUUAGAGAGUGGACGGGAAUGCACAGAUGAUUGUUGUUUGUGCAGCAUUAUAGUGAGUGAUGUUUUUUUCUACUCGAAUUUCAAGGUGUGUAAUGUAUGUGAUCUCCUUUUUAGAUAAAUGAUUUGUCCUAGACCUGAAAUCAGA
rnacentral:misc_RNA from 1 species